AAGUCGUAACAAGGUUUCCGUAGGUGAACCUGCGGAAGGAUCAUUAUUGAAUAUACUUGAUGGGUUGUAGCUGGCUCUACGGGGCAUGUGCACGCUUGUCUUGAUUUUAUUCAUCCACCUGUGCACCUUUUGUAGUCUUGGGGACUAAGAGCAAGUUGACUAUCGGAUUUGUUUCCGGAUGUGAGAAAUGCUGGUAUACAGCUCUUCUCUAUUGACUUUCUCCCUCAAGUGCUAUGUAUUCAUAUACCACAUAGUAUGUUGUAGAAUGUUGAUCAAUGGGUCUAUGUACCUAUAAUAAUCAUAUACAACUUUCAGCAACGGAUCUCUUGGCUCUC
rnacentral:misc_RNA from 1 species